UUUUGUAGCUGGAACCUAUUAUUAAACAGUAAUUUUGUUGUCUUUACAAGACAUUGAAAGGUGGAAGUUAGAAAUAUCUUAUAAAUAUUCCAUAUAUGGCCUGGUUUUUUAUGGUCAUAUCCUCUUCCUCUGCUCAGAAUUUUUUUCCAGGAUCACUCAAGGAUGUAACUGCAGAUGCGCAGCAGCUCUCCCCAACCGUGCCUCUAGCAGUCUCAGAUUUGCCACCUAUGUCCACAUUGAGAAUGAAUCAAAUUCUUUGAGAAAGAAUUACACAUAUUCCUGAAAACUGAUGUGUGCAGGGAGCACAAUAGCUGGAUGGGGAUGGCAGAGAUUGCAGAUAAUAUGCUUACAAAUCAUUAGCAGGACAAUGCAGUAGAGUGCUUUGAAGUUUCCCGCAAAGAAUUCAACAUCCCUGAGUUAACCAAGAUUCAUGCAGGUAGAAGGCAUAAUGUCCAACCUGGCUUCCAAAGUUUCUCACCUGAUUUGUGCUCUUUGGUGGAGUCUCAGCAGUUACAGCAGAGUGCAAAAGUCUUGUAAAGAGGCAGCAUCGGCACAAAGGUCAGCUGGUGGUCAGCAUCACGCUUCACUUGUGCAUCAGUACAGAGCUUAAUGCUUCAGAGACUGAACUUCUGUGCCCUAAGGAGCAUUCUUAUGAUCUACCUGUGUUAUUAGGUUUCAUAUAUGGAUUUUAUUUUUCUCUAAAGACUACGUUAACUGGAAUAAGCAAGUUGCAUGCCUGAUCACAUAAGAAGAGGAAAGGAAGAUGUCACCAUACUGGAAAACCUCACCUGACUUUUCUUGAUGAGUAUGGAAUGAAUGUGCUGGAGCAGCAAAUGCAAUGGCAGCUAACAGCGUGGAGUGUGUGCAUCUGCCAGAUGGUGAAAACAUCAAAGAUCAGAAUGGAGAACAUGAGCUCCACUCUCCAUCUUGAAAGAGAACAGCAGCACUAGUGCAGGUAUUGUCCACUAUUCAACACCAGCAGGUGUGGUCACCAUUACAUUUGGCAGAAAUGAAGUAAGAGGAGGUC